CAUACUGCCGUGAAUACGUUCCCGGGCCUUGUACACACCGCCCGUCACACCAUGAGAGUUGGGAAUACCCGAAGCCUGUGAGCUAACAUUAAGAGGCAGCAGUCGAAGGUAGAAUCAAUGAUUGGGGUGAAGUCGUAACAAGGUAUC
rnacentral:rRNA from 1 species